GACGAACGCUGGCGGCGUGCUUAACACAUGCAAGUCGAGCGGUAAGGCCCUUUCGGGGGUACGACGAGCGGCGAACGGGUGAGUAACACGUGGGUGACCUGCCCUCCAGCUCUGGGAGUAAAGCCUGGGAAACCGGGGUCUAAUACUGGAUAUGACUCCAUGACGCAUGUUGUGGGGUGGAAAGCCUUGUGCGGCUGAGGAUGGGCCCGCGGCCUAUCAGCUUGUUGGUGGGGUGAUGGCCUACCAAGGCGACGACGGGUAGCCGGCCUGGGAGGGCGACCGGCCACACUGGGACUGAGACA
rnacentral:rRNA from 1 species